CCUACGGGCGGCAGCAGUGAGGAAUAUUGGUCAAUGGACGAGAGUCUGAACCAGCCAAGUAGCGUGAAGGAUGACUGCCCUAUGGGUUGUAAACUUCUUUUAUAUGGGAAUAAAAUGUUCCACGUGUGGGAUUUUGUAUGUACCAUAUGAAUAAGGCUCGGCUAACUCCGUGCCAGCAGCCGCGGUAAUACGGAGGAUCCGAGCGUUAUCCGGAUUUAUUGGGUUUAAAGGGAGCGUAGGUGGAUUGUUAAGUCAGUUGUGAAAGUUUGCGGCUCAACCGUAAAAUUGCAGUUGAAACUGGCAGUCUUGAGUACAGUAGAGGUGGGCGGAAUUCGUGGUGUAGCGGUGAAAUGCUUAGAUAUCACGAAGAACUCCGAUUGCGAAGGCAGUUCACUGGACUGCAACUGACACUGAGGCUCGAAAGUGUGGGUAUCAAACAGGAUUAGAUACCCCUGUAGUC
rnacentral:rRNA from 1 species